rnacentral:lncRNA from 1 species
GCUAGCUAAACCCUCCAAGGAGGCCGGCCACUUUAGAGAGAAAGGAGAGCUUGUGUUCUCAUCCUUUCCCCACAAGAAAACCCUAAAUGAAUUUUGGCUAUAAAAUCAUAUUUAUAUCUUAAUUCAUUGGAGUGGCAAACUUGUAAAUAAGUCCAAAACUCACUCCAUCUCUAAAUAGCCGGCCUUAGGGUAUUAUUGGGCUAAUUGGGCCUUUGUGAAUCAUUAUUCAUUAAGUUGUCAUACAACUUAAUUCAAUGGGCUUGACGUUCGAAGCCCAUUGGGCCUUAAGGUCCAAAACUAUCACGAGGUCUUUAACGAACUUAUUCGUUUGAUUAAUUAACAUACUAAUUAAUCCUUGCCAUAAAUAAUUAAACCAUUUAAUUAUUCUUACUCAUCUCCAUUGUUUCUUCAAUCU